rnacentral:lncRNA from 1 species
GGCGGUGGGGUUUCUUCAUAGAUGGCAUUUAUUGUGAUACCUUGCCCUCCCUUGCUACCAUCGAUGCUUUAGCUCCAUGACUCACAGAUGCUAUCAUGAUGUGGACAUGGAGAAGAUGAAGCUUGGAAGACGAUGAAAGAAGGAGAAAAAGAGGAAAAAAAGGAAAAAAGGGAAAGGACCUUGGAGAAGAUGAAGAAAGAAUAUGACACGCUUAUCCUGCAACACAAGCAAAUUAAUUCAAUAAAACACUCUUCAAGCGAAUGCCAGCUUCUAAUAUGAAAAGUUAAGAGCGGAACAAAGGUAAAAAGAAAAGAAAUUAUAGAGAGAAAAGAGAACUGAGUAUUUUUCAUUGCCUUUAUUUUGUAGACCUUACAAUUCUUCUAUGCUUCACCUCCAGCAACCUCUAACAGAAGGUGGUUACAAAAAUAUCAAUUGUCAAGCCAAAAUAACAAAAACGAAUAAAAGAUUUUAUAAAGGAAUCCACAACAUCCUGCUUCUCAAACACCAUAAUCCUUCAGCCAGCUGGGUGGAUUUCUCACUCGUGAUGGGCCUAUAACAGGUUUUGUGUCGGGCUUAGCUAUAUCUUCCUCCUGGUGUGAUAUAGCCCGUUCUUCAAUAGGUUCCACAAGAUAUG